rnacentral:rRNA from 1 species
UACCAGCACCCCGAGUGGUCGGGACGAUUAUUGGGCCUAAAGCAUCCGUAGCCGGUUCUACAAGUCUUCCGUUAAAUCCACCUGCUUAACAGAUGGGCUGCGGAGGAUACUAUAGAGCUAGGAGGCGGGAGAGGCAAGCGGUACUUAGUGGGUAGGGGUAAAAUCCGUUGAUCCAUUGAAGACCACCAGUGGCGAAGGCGGCUUGCCAAUACGCGCUCGACGGUGAGGGAUGAAAGCUGGGGGAGCAAACCGG